rnacentral:rRNA from 1 species
GAUGAACGCUGGCGGCGUGCCUAAUACAUGCAAGUCGAGCGAACAGACGAGGAGCUUGCUCCUCUGACGUUAGCGGCGGACGGGUGAGUAACACGUGGAUAACCUACCUAUAAGACUGGGAUAACUUCGGGAAACCGGAGCUAAUACCGGAUAAUAUAUUGAACCGCAUGGUUCAAUAGUGAAAGACGGUUUUGCUGUCACUUAUAGAUGGAUCCGCGCCGCAUUAGCUAGUUGGUAAGGUAACGGCUUACCAAGGCAACAAUGCGUAGCCGACCUGAGAGGGUGAUCGGACACACUGGAACUGAGACACGGUCCAGACUCCUACGGGAGGCAGCAGUAGGGAAUCUUCCGCAAUGGGCGAAAGCCUGACGGAGCAACGCCGCGUGAGUGAUGAAGGUCUUCGGAUCGUAAAACUCUGUGAUUAGGGAAGAACAAAUGUGUAAGUAACUAUGCACAUCUUGACGGUACCUAAUCAGAAAGCCACGGCUAACUACGUG